GACGAACGCUAGCGACGUGCCUAAGAAAUGCAAGUCGAGCGGGGUUAUCGGGGCUUGCCCUGAUAAUCUAGCGGCGAACGGUCGCGUAACACGUAAGGAACCUGCCCUGAAGUGGGGGAUAGUCCUCCGAAAGGGGGCUUAAUACCGCAUGUGGAUAGUGGAUGGCAUCUUCUACUAUCUAAAGCAGUAAUGCGCUUCAGGAUGGUCUUGCGGCCUAUCAGCUAGUUGGUGUGGUAACGGCAUACCAAGGCGACGACGGGUAGCUGGUCUGAGAGGAUGGUCAGCCGGACUGGGACUGAGACACGGCCCAGACCCCUACGGGGGGCAGCAAUUAGGAAUCUUGCGCAAUGGGCGAAAGCCUGACGCAGCGACGUCGCGUGACUGAUGAAGUCUUUCGGGAUGUAAAGGUCUUUUCUGAAGGAAGAAGGAAGUGACGGUACUUCAGGAAUAAGCCCCGGCUAACUACGUGCCAGCAGCCGCGGUAAUACGUAGGGGGCGAG
rnacentral:rRNA from 1 species